rnacentral:rRNA from 1 species
UACGGGGGGGGCAAGCGUUGUUCGGAAUUACUGGGCGUAAAGGGUUUGUAGGUGGCUCGCUAAGUCAGACGUGAAAUCCCUCAGCUUAACUGGGGAACUGCGUCUGAGACUGGCGAGCUUGAGUGCAGGAGAGGAACGCGGAAUUCCAGGUGUAGCGGUGAAAUGCGUAGAUAUCUGGAGGAACACCGGUGGCGAAGGCGGCAUCCUGGACCAACACUGACACUGAGGAGCGAAAGCCAGGGGAGCAAACGGG